UGAUGACCCUCACCGCGAGCGCCCGCUGA
rnacentral:sRNA from 1 species